AUUGAACGCUGGCGGCAGGCCUAACACAUGCAAGUCGAGCGGAUCGGCGGCCGGGUGAGUAUUGACUAGGAAUCUGCCUGGUACCGGGGGAUGAGGUCCGGAAACGGGAGCUAAUACUGCAUACUUUCACAUGCGCAUAUGUAGGAUUAGCUAUUUGGUGGGGUAAAGGCCUACCAAGGCGACGAUCCGUAACUGGUCUGAGAGGAUGAUCAGUCACACUGGAACGGAGACACGGUCCAGACUCCUACGGGAGGCAGCAGUGGGGAAUAUUGGACAAUGGGCGAAAGCCUGAUCCAGCCAUGCCGCGUGUGUGAAGAAGGUCUUCGGAUUGUAAAGCACUUUAAGUUGGGAGGCGUUACCAACAGAAUAAGCACCGGCUAACUUCGUGCCAGCAGCCGCGGUAAUUC
rnacentral:rRNA from 1 species